CGGUGUACUCGAUGAACGAAAUGCCGCUUUAAAGAAAUUGUGACGAAAUGUUGGCAUGUGCGUAGUGGCACAGUUUGAAAUGUGUCGCAGAGUAAAUCCGAAAAGAACCGAAGCGUACCAUGUGUAAAAAAUGUGUGAAAACUACAACUGCAAGCUUAUGUUACGCAGCAUUGACCGAUGUCGAGAUAUUGUUCUCAUGAAUGUAGCAUCCAUCGCCUUUGUACGCAUGUGCUGGCUUAGGCGCACUAUCAUCGAGGCAUUGAUCAAGGUUAAUAAAACUGUACCCGCAACGAGCGCGUCGCCCUGGUUUCGGUUUCGGUUCUCGCUGCUAUUCGUGAUAAUAAACAGUUUGUAAAUUGUGCUUUUUGUUGGCGAUUCUCUGGACAAGGGACGAAAACAAAAACUGGCAAUUAAAAUAAGCAAGACGUAGAAUAUUUCAAACGAAAAACUGUUUCAACAUUCUUUCAUGCAACUCAAAUUCUAAGGCUCUAAGCGCCACCUAUUUCCGGUAGUCAAAAUGUGCCAUGGCGGCUUCCUGUCAAUUGGAUGUGUGCGUAGCAUGGGAGCUUCAAUGGUACAUCUCAGCUUUUUUGGUUAUCCCCAGCUGUUCCUUAUAUUUCCGCGUAAUCACUCUUUCUUGUACCCAAUACAAUACCGAAUAGGGAUCGUAUAGAAGCUCAGAGGCUGCACCUGUCAUUCACAUAGACAGGUCAACUACUCGGACAUUAAUGUCUGGAUACAAAUUGGGUAGAUCUUGUAUGCCAUGCCCAACAUCAGAAUAGCUGGAAUGUACAGACUAAAAAAGCUCGGAAGCGCUUGCACUCUUUGGAGAAUUUUGUAUGAGCAUUUUCAGGCUGUUCUGGUGACGCUAAAAAAUACUGGCUCUCCUGUAAUCGAGAUUAGAUGUAAGCAUGAAAUGGCUGCCGACAAAGCAGAUUGAUUGUAGAUGAUACUAGCCACAAUCUUAAAAUGAGUGUAGCGCACAUUCACAACGGCACACCCCACCCCACUGCAUCACGCAACUGUACACUGGUCCAUAUGGAAGCAAGUUUCCUGUCAAAGACGGAACCCCAUUGCAA
rnacentral:lncRNA from 1 species